AUGGCGGCAGAACCAGGAAUGACCCAGGAUGAGUGGCGUGGCCGGAGCCUGGAUGACCAGGAAGUGGAGGGUCUCCCGGUGUUGGUCAAUAGUCAUGUGGAGACCCUGAGUUCGGUGGGUGAGAGGGUACGGCAUGAUGGGCCGGCCGUCCACAGAGGUCACGGGAAUGGGGCGGUGAGGGGUAUAUUGAGCCGAGUAACCAGUCCGUGGUCGAUAAAACACUCCGCAGCCCCAGUGUCUAAAAGUGCCUCCAGUCUGGUCGGGCCUUGGUCCAGGUGGAGGGAGACCGGGAGAGUGGUUCGGUGUGGAGCCGGAAAAGUGGAGACUCCGGGCGGGACAGCUCCUACUCCGACCCGGAGGGACCUUUUCCCGGUCGUUUUGGGCACGUGCCACGGUGGUGACCCAAAUCCCCACAGUAAGCGCAUCUUCCCUCCUGGUAGCGCCGUGCCCGUUCCUCAGGGGGAAGAUGUCCGAGCUGCAUCGGCUCCUCCGUCGGUUGGUGAGCCGGCCGGCGGGGUGACGUCCUGGUGUGUACGGGGGCUGACAUGGUGCUCGGCCGGUUCAGGAUGCAGCGGUCCAGUUGGAGAGCCAGAUCCACUGCCAGGUCCAGGGAGGUUGGGACCUCGUGCCCGAUCAUGCCCUCCCGGAUUCUCGGUGACAGUCCCUCCAGGUAAACGGCCUUUAGGGCGGCGUCAUCCCACCUCAACCGAGCUGCUGUCGUCCGGAAGCGAGAGGUGUACUGAGCCGCCGUCUGGGAGCCCUGGCGAAGCUGAAGCAGCCGCGUCUCGUCCGAGACCUCGCUGCUGGGGUGCACAAAAGUCUUUUUCAUCUCCUUUACAAAAGUCUCGUAGUCAUUGCAAGCAGGAGAUUUCUGGUUGUAAAAAGCCGCCGCCCAUUCACCUGCUCAACCUGUCAGCAGGGAGGUCAGCAGGGCGACACGAGAGCAGGAUGUGGGGUAGCGUGCCGGCUGGCACUCAAAAGUCAUGGCCAGGGUCGCCAACAUGCCCUCCGGGGAUCCCUUGGUUCCGUCCCACUUCUCUGGAAGGCUGA
rnacentral:lncRNA from 1 species